GAUGAACGCUGGCGGCGUGCCUAAUACAUGCAAGUCGAGCGAACUGAUUAGAAGCUUGCUUCUAUGACGUUAGCGGCGGACGGGUGAGUAACACGUGGGCAACCUGCCUGUAAGACUGGGAUAAUUUCGGGAAAACGAAGCUAAUACCGGAUAGGAUCUUCUCCUUCAUGGGAGAUGAUUGAAAGAUGGUUUCGGCUAUCACUUACAGAUGGGCCCGCGGUGCAUUAGCUAGUUGGUGAGGUAACGGCUCACCAAGGCAACGAUGCAUAGCCGACCUGAGAGGGUGAUCGGCCACACUGGGACUGAGACACGGCCCAGCCUCCUACGGGAGGCAGCAGUAGGGAAUCUUCCGCAAUGGACGAAAGUCUGACGGAGCAACGCCGCGUGAGUGAUGAAGGCUUUCGGGUCGUAAAACUCUGUUGUUAGGGAAGAACAAGUACGAGAGUAACUGCUCGUACCUUGACGGUACCUAACCAGAAAGCCACGGCUAACUACGUGCCAGCCGCCGCCGUAAGAC
rnacentral:rRNA from 1 species